AGACGACCUUGAAGUAAUUCUUUUCAGUUGAGUUGAAGAUUAAUCGACUGAUUCUUUUUUUAUGAACUGUAAUGCGUUACCCUCGCUAGUGGCAGAUAAAGUGUACGGUGCGCUAUGUUUUAAUGACAGUACGAAGUGUUCUGGUUCCCAGAAGCUGAGACGUAUCCUAAUGGCCCCGUCCGCAUCGCGUGCGGCUGAGACUUGGAAACGUAAACUAUUAGUUUUACUGAACCUUGCAACACCGCGACGCUCCGACGAAGUACGAAUGACGGCGUUUAAUAGACGUUAAACAAAAAACAUAACAAGUGUAUUUUAAUAGUUAAACUAACUAUGACAAUAACUGAGUUCGCACUAACACAUUUCAAAGAUUCAUUUAUUAAGAGUGUGAGAAUUGUAGCAUGAUAUUGAAGUCUUUUUAACGUUAAAAGCAAAACCAGUGUAAGAAAAGAAAACCGAACAUUCUAUGAAUUCAUUCAUAUAAAUAACGUAGCGGACGCCGCCCUCACAAGUUGAUCGAGCCCGGUGGAGACGGGCUGCAUGAGGCCCUCACCCUCACCAGACAUCAUCGACACCAGCGCCGCUAGCACUACCACCCCCGCAGACGGCCACAUCACUCAUCACAAUAUUAUAUUACUGAACUACUCUCAUGGAUCACAUAUAUUUGUUCCUUGACAGCCUCGGGCAGCCUCUGCCGUCUCUAUGUUGACUGCGCCGGCGCAUGCCACAUCUAACUAUAUAAGUGCGCCGUCACCUUGAUCUUGGAGAGACGCUACAAGAUGAUCUCCUGACCCUCGCAAUAACUUCCGAUACGUUCAAAUUCACAACCAUUACAAAUAUUUGGCCAAUUAUAAUAUAAAAAUGCUAAUUUAAAUAUUAGGUAUACAUAGCUUCAUUGUUCGUUUACAUAUCUUUGUUUAUUAAGACUGGCAUCUCGAUAUGUACUGCAUACAAUGCAUUACAGACAUAACUCAAUCGGUUGAACGUUCUAGUUUUGGAAAUGAGGUUAAUGUAAUCAUUAUGAAUAUGUUAAUUUUUGCUUUAAUUACAAACUCAAAAGUCCAUACAUCUGAGUACGCAAGAAAUACACUCUAAGAAUAUAGAUACAGCCUCCAGACACGGCAUCAUCAUCGCAAGCCGCCGUCGAGAGAAACGUCUUAAGACAAACUAGGAAAACUAAACGUAAGAUAUAUGUACAUCAUUCACCAUUUUCUUUCAGACCUCCUGAAGUUAACUGUUCUCAUAUUUUGAAAAAAGACCAAAAUAUUGUUUGAAUCCUGUGGCUUUUAGUAUGUGUUUAUUUUAUUAUGAAAGCAAACUAUGUAAGUAAGUAUAUAUUACAUCACACAAAAUCAGAGUGUAAGUAAAAAUAUUUUACUAAAAAAAAAACUUCAAUUUAUACGAAAUA